rnacentral:rRNA from 1 species
AUUGAACGCUGGCGGCAGGCCUAACACAUGCAAGUCGAACGACUGGCGGACGGGUGAGGAAUGUCUGGGAAACUGCCUGAUGGAGGGGGAUAACUACUGGAAACGGUAGCUAAUACCGCAUCCCAACAGCUGUGUCCAGUUGGGAUUAGCUAGUUGGUGGGGUAACGGCUCACCAAGGCGACGAUCCCUAGCUGGUCUGCAAGGAGGACCGACAACACGGUAACUGAGACACGGUCCAGACUCCUACGGGAGGCAGCAGUUGGGAAUAUUGCACGAUGGGGGCAAGCCUGAUGCAGCCAUGCCGCGUGUAUGAUGAAGGCCUUCGGGUUGUAAAGUACUUUCAUCGGGGAGGCGUUACCCGCAGAAGAAGCACCGGCUAACUCCGUGCCAGCAGCCGCGGUAAUUC